GUAAACGGCGGCCGUAACUAUAACGGUCCUAAGGUAGCGAAAUUCCUUGUCGGGUAAGUUCCGACCCGCACGAAAGGCGUAACGAUUUGGGCACUGUCUCAACGAGAGACUCGGUGAAAUCAUAGUACCUGUGAAGAUGCAGGUUACCCGCGACAGGACGGAAAGACCCCGUGGAGCUUUACUGUAGCCUGAUAUUGAAAUUCGGCACAGCUUGUACAGGAUAGGUAGGAGCCUUUGAAACGUGAGCGCUAGCUUACGUGGAGGCGUUGGUGGGAUACUACCCUAGCUGUGUUGGCUUUCUAACCCGCACCACUUAUCGUGGUGGGAGACAGUGUCAGGCGGGCAGUUUGACUGGGGCGGUCGCCUCCUAAAAGGUAACGGAGGCGCUCAAAGGUUCCCUCAGAAUGGUUGGAAAUCAUUCAUAGAGUGUAAAGGCAUAAGGGAGCUUGACUGCGAGACCUACAAGUCGAGCAGGGUCGAAAGACGGACUUAGUGAUCCGGUGGUUCCGCAUGGAAGGGCCAUCGCUCAACGGAUAAAAGCUACCCCGGGGAUAACAGGCUUAUCUCCCCCAAGAGUUCACAUCGACGGGGAGGUUUGGCACCUCGAUGUCGGCUCAUCGCAUCCUGGGGCUGUAGUCGGUCCCAAGGGUUGGGCUGUUCGCCCAUUAAAGCGGUACGCGAGCUGGGUUCAGAACGUCGUGAGACAGUUCGGUCCCUAUCCGUCGUGGGCGUAGGAAAUUUGAGAGGAGCUGUCCUUAGUACGAGAGGACCGGGAUGGACAUACCUCUGGUGUACCAGUUGUCGUGCCAACGGCAUAGCUGGGUAGCUAUGUAUGGACGGGAUAAGUGCUGAAAGCAUCUAAGCAUGAAGCCCCCCUCAAGAUGAGAUUUCCCAACUUCGGUUAUAAGAUCCCUCGAAGAUGACGAGGUUAAUAGGUUCGAGGUGGAAGCGUGGUGACACGUGGAGCUGACGAAUACUAAUCGAUCGAAGACUUAAUCAA
rnacentral:rRNA from 1 species